GUCGAACGGUAGCAGGAAGUGCUUGCACUUUGCUGACGAGUGGCGGACGGGUGAGUAAUACUUAGGAACAUGCCUUUGUGUGGGGGAUAACCAUUGGAAACGAUGGCUAAUACCGCAUAAUGUCUUUGGACCAAAGAGGGCUUUCGGGCUCUCGCGCAAAGAGUGGCCUAAGUGAGAUUAGCUUGUUGGUGAGGUAAAGGCUCACCAAGGCGACGAUCUCUAGCUGUUCUGAGAGGAAGAUCAGCCACACUGGGACUGAGACACGGCCCAGACUCCUACGGGAGGCAGCAGUGGGGAAUAUUGCACAAUGGGGGCAACCCUGAUGCAGCCAUGCCGCGUGUGUGAAGAAGGCCUUCGGGUUGUAAAGCACUUUCAGUUGUGAGGAAAGGUUGAUGGUUAAUACCCAUCAGCUGUGACGUUAGCAACAGAAGAAGCACCGGCUAACUCCGUGCCAGCAGCCGCGGUAAUACGGAGGGUGCGAGCGUUAAUCGGAAUUACUGGGCGUAAAGCGCACGCAGGCGGUUAUAUAAGCUAGAUGUGAAAGCCCCGGGCUCAACCUGGGAAUAGCAUUUAGAACUGUAUGACUAGAGUCUUGGAGAGGGGAGUGGAAUUCCAGGUGUAGCGGUG
rnacentral:rRNA from 1 species